UUUCUAAAGGUUUUGUUUCACCAGUUAGGUGCUCAAUUGUGACAGUUGAUGAACCUUGGUAGACUUCACCAUCAACAGGCACAGCCUAAAGAAUACAAGAACUGCACUAAAAUGAGAUAAAUUUCUAACCAUCUAGAAUAAGAAUACCAUCAACAUGUAGGGCAAAAAAAUUGUAAGUCAAACCAUUGUGCUCAGUUAGAAACAAAUUGAAAAAUGCAUGAAGAAGCUAUGAAAUGAAAACAAAAAUAGGAAAAGCGAGGAUUUAACUUCUAUACAAGAUAUAACACACCUCGCCAGCUCUAACCAAGAUAUGAGAACCCACUUCAAGAUCGUGCACAGGAACCUUGGUGUAACUUAGAUUUGAAAACUGUACAGAUUCUUCUCCACUUGUUUCUAACAACAGCGCAAAUUCCGGGUGAUUUUCCUUCAGUUCCCUCACAUCAAACAUUGACUUACUUGUAAAGUACUCUUCAGCUGUAAGAAACAAGAACAGUGAACUUCUAAUAAACACACAACAGGAGCUAACACAAGGAGCUUUCAGAUGUUAUCAAAAGAAAUGUACCAAUAUGAGCCAAGUUAAACAUUGCAAGAAGCAGGCCACCCUCCAAUGCAUUUCCCAUAAAUAUAGAAGCAAAUGCUGCAAGAGCCAUGAGGACAUGGAUAUUUAUUCUACCAUCGGCAAUAUUUACAAGAGCAUCAAGCGCUGCAGACACCUGAAAGAUAGGAAAGGAGUGUCAAACAAGUACGUUGUUGGCAAGACCUCAAAACAAAGACUUCUCCUCGGAUCUCCGUUGUUAGGUAGCAAAGCAAAACACAGUUCCAGGUUCAAUGAAUUCCAUUUUACACCAAUGCAGUUGUCAUAUCAAUUGCUGAUAAGAUUUUACUAAACCUUGGCUAAUUCGAAGCCUGGACAAGUACUGGAGAGUUAUGUGGUGGCAUACAAACAGUGAGACACAAUGGUUUCUAACUUUUAUAGCGAAAUCCCCAGGGAGACACAAUGUCAUAGAUACAAGCCUAAGUGUUGCCAAUGUAUGAACUCCUUGGAGUGUGCUUAGUGUACCUGAAAUCCCGAUCCUAUGCUCUAAUUUUCUUACCAAUCUUCAAGCAUUUAAAUACAGCAUAGAAUUGAUGCAACCCAACUAAUUAUUUCCUCAGAAAGUGCAAAUGUUGAAGCAGCUGUGAUGUGAGCAUAGAACAAAUAGACUACCAAGUACAGUACUAGUUAGUAGUGAUCCCUGGUAAUGGUCUGGAGGGCCAAAAAGUAGCAAAGGAACAAAGUAGGGGCAUUACCCCGACGAGAGGGAAGGCGACGGCGAUGAGCGCGGCCUGCAGGCGGCCGACUGAGUUGAGCAGCGCGACGUGCGGGCAGGCAGCGGCGAUAAGGAGGAGGCCGAGGGAGAUGCAGCAGGCCUGGAGGUGUUCCCGCAGCGCGUCGGCGACGCUGGCCCAGCCGAUCGCCCGCGCCACCCGCAUGACCGCCGCGCCCCCGCCUCCCCCGUGCACGUCCACCUCGUGGUGACCGUGGCCGUGGCCGUGGUGGUGGUGGUGGUGGUCAUGGCCGUGGUGAUGGUGGUGGCCGUGACCGUGACCGUGGCCGCCGUGAGCGCGUGGGGUGAAGAGAAGGGACGGGCGCGAGGCGAGGAGGAGCGGCGGUCGGGGCGUCAGGGCGAGGGGUUUGGGCGGAGAGCAGCGGCGGCGGAGGUGCGGGAAGGGCGGGGGGCGCGAGAGGCGGAGGAGAUGCGCCGACGGCGGCACCGGCGAGGAGACUGAGACUGAGGCGGAGGCGCUGAGGAAUUGCAUCGCGCCGGCGGGCGGGCGGGCGAGGGCGGGAGCGGGAGGAGAUCGCGUCGGCGGGGCGGUUGACGGACGCUCGUGGUGGUGUGGUGAGCCGUGAGGAGCAGCAGCUGAGGAAGAGGGACUGGUCCACCACCGGGGUUGGACCUUUGUGGCGGGCGUGUGGUGGACGGGGGUGGUGGGCUGGUGGCGAGGCGAGGCGAGCCAAAGCGGAUGGCGAUGACGGGCGUGGGCCUGGGGUUGUUUUGGCUCGUGUCGUCACCGUGUCACUACCAUGAUCGUGUCGCGCACGCUUUCGCUACUCUUUGUGUCGUCUCCAUUCUGCAAUUUGUAACUUUGUACCGUAUAUAUAUAUGUAGUGCACAAAUGCACAAUACACGUUUAAAUGUCUUUGUCAGAAAAAAGGACCUCUAUUAUGCUAUGCUAUAUUUCCUCCGUAAUGGUAACAAGUUAUUUUGGAUAAACAUUGAGAAUAUAAAAUCACAAAUAACUUUUAAAAUUGUUGAGUUUAUAAUUAUAAAAACUAUAUAAAUAGAAUUGUCUUGAAAAAUAUUUUCAUAAAAAUAUACAUAUAUCACUUUUCAACAAAUAUUUUUAUAAAAAAUAAGAAGUCAAAGUUAUGCUUUGUAUAACGUGGCAUUGUCCAAAAUGAAUUGAAUUACUAGUAUAGAGGGAGUAUGUGCCAUGCUUCAGGUAGAGUGCAUUUUCACAUCCUGCCAAGAAAUUCCAAUGAUAAUUGAUAAUAUAUUCAGGCAAAAAGAACUUGCAAGCUCCAAAACCAAAAAAAAUGUCAUGACUUGACAAAACUGUUUUAGAGACAUAAUAUUGUGCUCUUACGUUAUAACUAAUAGUUCACUUUAAUUUUGUCCUAAUAAUAGAAAUUUGUCUAGCUUCGAUUUAUUUUUUUUUAGAAAAAAUAUAUUCAGAUGAAUAUUCCCUCUGUCCUAAAAAGACCAUUGUUUUAGAAAUAAAUCUCGACAAACACUUGUCUAGAUUUAUUCCUAAAACAACAGUCUCUCUAGGAUUGUUGUAAAAAAAAUAGUCACUUUGAGACAUAGGGAAGUACACUGUAAAAAUAUAUUUUAUUAUAAUCUAAUUAAUUUUUUUAAUAUUAUAGAUGCUAAUAUACCUUUUUUCUAUGAACCUUGUCAUCAAUGUUGAAAAAAAAUAACUAACUUAAAAUAAAGCUAAAUAAAGUACUCUCUUCAUUCUAUAUUAUAAGACAUUUUGGUAUUUUAGAUAUAUUACAUUUGCUAUGUAUCUAGAAAUAGUGUAUAUAUAUCUAAAUAUAUAGCAACUACGAAUCUAGAAAAGUCUUAUAAUUUGGAACGUACAGCAGAAUUUAGAAAGGAUUUAGUAUCACUCUAAUUUAUUGUAUAAGUUUUGUUACAGAAAAUAUUGGAAUAUUACAAUGAGUACUCGAGCAUUUUACAAAUGCAAAUGUUUUAUUGGAGACUAGAUGAUCGUGUACAGUACACCACACAUCUGAGUGAUGAUCAUCUACUCCAUCACGAAUUCUAGGAAGCGACAGAAGCACGGUAUAUUUCUACAUUGCUCAGUGUGUUUCUUUAACCCCGGUGUUUCUCAUUUGUGCCGAUUGUGAUGGGUUGGUACUUUUAUUUUUAGAGGUUCCAAAAUAAAAACCAAUUGUACAAUUGAAUUUGCGCCCUUGUUCUUUGUAAACUUAUAACCUUUUCGAUCCCAGACUAUAGAAGCUUGUGUUAACGAUCAGAAUUUGCUUUGAUUUCGACUCAAUCUGCCUAGCUAACGAUUGUUUUUUCGAGGCAUUCCGCAACGGUCAAAAUUCAAAACUCAAAGCUAACAAAGGAGCAGGGGGGGGGGGGGUGUGGGGUCAGCGUUACCCCGACGAGAGGGCAGGCGACGGCGACGAGCGCCGCCUGCACGAGCCUGCUGGCACCGGAACCGAGCAUCACGACGUGAGGGCAGGCAGCGGCCACCAGGAGGAGCCCGAGCGCGACGACGCAGCAGACGUGGAGGUGCUCACGCAGCGCGUCGGCCACGCCGGCCAGCCCGACUGCCCUCGCCGCCCGCAUGAUCGCCGCGCCCCCGCCUCCUGCUCCACCGUGCGCGGCGUCUUCGUCGUCGUCCGCCCCGCCGCGGUGACCGUGGCAGUGGCCAUGGCGAUGGACGUGGCCGUGGUGGUGGUGGUGGUGGCAGCCGUGCGCGCGCGGGGUUAUGAGCACGGAACGACGCGCGCGGAGAAGCCGCUGUCGGGGGCUCGGCUGAUGGGCGGGCAGCACCAGCAGUAGCGGCCGCGGCGGCGGAGGUGCAUGCGGGGACCUCGAGAGGCCGAGGAGCCGCGCGGGCGGCAGCGGCACCGGCGUCGUCGAGGCGCCGGAGGAGAUGGAGGAGACUGAGGCGGGGCCCGUUAGGAACUGCAUUACUGCCGCCCGGCAGCGGGUCAGGAUCGCGCACGUACGUCGGCGAUCGAGGUGACGACUUGAGCGGCAGCGGGGCUUCGAGGUAGCCGAGAGAGGGUGUCGUCACCGUGUCAUGCCGUCGCGUCUGGUUUUGCGCCCUUGUUUGUUGUUUCGCCCGCCCCGGUGCCGUUCGUGUGUCGUCACCGUGUCGCGCGGUCGUGCCAUCGUGUCGCACAUAUAAACGCGGUCUGGCUGCCAUGCAUGGUGCCUGUCCGUAUCAAGGGCGUCAGGGUAUGUGCCAGGCUGCCAGCGCCAGUUCUUUUUCACCGAUUGGGACGAGUUUGGACCACUCCACAUGUCCUGCCAAAUUGGAAGUCUUGUUUAAAUUUAGAGUGUCUGUUAUAUUGGAGGUGUCACGUAAAAGUAUUCGGAGAGUAAUAAUAAAACAAGUUACAUAAUCCGUGAGAUGAAUUUAUUAAGUUUAAUUAAUUUGUCAUUACCAUGUGUCUACUGUAACACCGUAUUGUCAAACUAUGGACUGAUUACGUUUAAAAGAUUCAUCUCGCAAAAUAGUCAUAAUAUGUAUAAUUAGUUUUUUAGUCUAUAUUGAAUACUUCAUGCAUGUGUCCAAAUAUUAAAUGGGAUAUGAAGUAAAUUUUAGGCAGAGGAACAAGGCUAGCAUGUAUAUGUAUAAAUGAUUGAGUCUCAUAAGUUAAUCAUCUUCAAAUUUGACCGGUUUUAAAGAAACAUUUAUCAAUAGUUCUAGCCCCAAAUAAACAUACUAGAAAAAUAUACCCAAAUGGGAAAAAUAUUAAUAAUGACAAUAAUUUGGUGUUGUGGAUGUCGCUAUGAUUUUCUAUGAAACUAGUUAAAUUUGUAGAAGUUUAAUUUAGAAUAAAACUAAAGAACUUGCAUUUUGAAAUGAGGGAUUAUAAAUUUCAACUAGUUGUAAUGAUUUUCUAUUAAACUAGUUAAAUUUGUAGAAGUUUAAUUCAAAAUAAAACUAAAGAACUUGCAUUUUGAAAUGAGGGAUUAUAAAUUUCAACUAGUUGUAAUGAUUUUCUAUGAAACUAGUUAAAUUUGUAGAAGUUUAAUUCAAAAUAAAACUAAAGAACUUGCAUUUUGAAAUGAGGGAUUAUAAAUUUGAACUAGUUGUAAUGUAGACUAUCCCCCGCAUAAUUUUUUAUGUAGUGGAAAGAGAUUAUCGCUAGAGAGAAAACUUUGUUGUAGCUCCUCAAGAAUUGAUUGAGAUCUCACAAGACACAUAAUCUAUUUCUUUUAUUUUCUCCCUUGUUCCUUCCAAACAAUUUGUCGGCAGAUAAUCACGAUUUCAAUCGACCGAAGAGGACUAGAUAAAAUUCUUUGAAAAUAAAAAGAAAAGAUGAGAAACAAAAAAGGGAAAUGAAAAAAGAGAGAGAGGAAACCUCUUAAAUCAAAAGAAAUCCACAAAUUCAGGACUUGUUUAGAUACAGAAGGUUUUUAGAUUUUGACAUUGUAGCAUUUUCGUUUUUAUUUGACAUUGUCCAAUCAUAGAGUAAAUAGGUUUAAAAGAUUUAUCUCACAAUUUACAUGCAAAUUGUGCAAUUAGUUUUUGUUUUCAUCUAUAUUUAUUAAUGCUCCAUGCAUGUGACACGAGAUUCGAUGUGACGGAGAAUCUUGAAAAGUUUUUGGUUUUAGGGUGAACUAAGGCCUUGUUUAGAUCAUUUUUUUUUGGAUUUCGACACUGUAGCGUUUUCGUUUUUAUUUAACAAACAUUAUCCAAUCAUGGAGUAACUAAACUUAAAAAAAUUAUUUCACAAUUUACACACAAACUGUGUAAUUAAAUUUUAUUUUUAUCUAUAUUUAAUGCUUUAUAUAUAUGCAGCAAAAUUCGAUGUGACAGGAAAUCUUGAAAAGAUUUGGUUUUUAGAGUGAGGCCUUGUUUAGAUGUGAAAAUUUUUUGGAUUUCGCUAUUGUAGCACUUUCGUUUGUUUGUGACAAAUAUUAUCCAAUUAUAGACUAACUAUGACCAAAAGAUUAGUCUCGCGAUUUACAGGCAAACUGUGUAAUUAGUUUUUAUUUUCGUCUAUAUUUAGUGCUUUAUGUAUGUGCCGUAAGAUUUGAUGUGAUAUGGAAUCUUGAAAACUUUUUGAAUUUUGGUGGGAACUAAACAAGGCCUGAAUUAAACAAGGCCUCAGGGCUAUGUUUCAAAGUACAUGCAAAUUGAGUGUUAAAUAAGUGAGGCAUGCACAUCUCACAAGGAUUAAAUGUCAAAAUUUUGUAAAUAAUAGCCUUUCAAUGAUGAAAACGAACAGCAACGCUUAAGCGGCAACGCCUUGGGGCUUCGGUGCAGCAAGCAAAACUGCUUCGCCGCGGCCGCCGCCUCCGUGCCGGCGCGCGGCUAAACCCCAACUAGUCCCACCGGCCACCGCUCCGCCGCAGAACCAAUGCGGCCGCCACCAUGCGCCACGUUCCGCCCCUCCCCCGCCGCCGCCGCCGCCGCCUCCACGUCCACCCCGGACAUCGUCGCGGAGCUCGGCCGCGUCAUCUCCACGCGCCGCUGGAACAAGGGCAGAGCCUACAAGCGCCUGGCCCCCUUCGUGACCGCCGCGCACGUGGCCGACCUCUUCCGCGCCCCGGUGGCCCCUCUCGACCCGGCCACCGCUCUCGCCUUCUUCGAGUGGGUCGCGCGCCGUCCCGGGUUCCGCCACACCGCCGCCUCCCACGCCGCGCUGCUCCAGCUCCUCGCCCGCCGCCGCGCGCCCGCCAACUACGACAAGCUCGUCGUCUCCAUGAUCAGCUGUUCCGGCACCGCGGAGGACAUGCGCGAGGCCGUCGACGCCAUUCAGGCAAUCCGUCGAGCGGGUGGCAAGCGCCUCGCGCUGUCCCCAAAGUGCUACAACUUGGCGCUCAGGUCGCUGCUGCGAUUCGACAUGACGGAGCAUAUGGGGAAGCUGUACUCGCAACUCGUGCAGGAGGGGUUGCUGCCGGACACAGUGACUUACAACACAAUGAUCAUGGCAUACUGCAAGGAGGGUAGUCUCGCCAUAGCACACCGGUAUUUCCGGCUGUUGAGGGAGUCUGGGAUGGAGAUGGAUACAUACACAUGCAAUGCAUUGUUGCUGGGGUACUGCCGAACAGGUGACUUGAGAAAGGCUUGCUGGCUACUCAUGAUGAUGCCGCUGAUGGGUUGCAGGAGGAACGAGUACUCCUACACCAUUUUGAUUCAGGGGCUCUGCGAAACACGUUGUGUAAGGGAGGCACUUGUGCUUCUGCUCAUGAUGUUACAAGAUGGGUGCUCCCCGAAUCUGCACACAUAUACACUCUUGAUAAGAGGUCUUUGUAAGGAGGGAAGGAUUCAUGAUGCCAGGGUGUUGCUUGAUGAAAUGCCGCGGAGAGGGGUGGUUCCAAGUGUUUGGACGUAUAAUGCAAUGAUUGAUGGGUACUGUAAGUCGGGAAGGCUGAAGGAUGCAUUGGGGAUUAAGACACUGAUGGAAGGAAAUGGGUGUAAUCCAGAUGACUGGACUUACAACAGUUUGAUUCAUGGCCUAUGUGGUGGGAAGCCAGACGAAGCUGAAGAAUUGCUAAAUGGCGCUAUUGCGAGAGGCUUCUCACCUACAGUUAUCACAUUCACUAACAUAAUUAAUGGGUAUUGCAAGGCUGAAAAGAUUGAUGAUGCACUCAGGGUAAAGAGUAUCAUGAUUUCAAGCAAGUGCAAACUUGAUUUACAGGCAUAUGGAGUGUUGAUCAGUGUCCUCAUCAAGAAGCAUAGAUUAAAAGAGGCUAAAGAUACAUUAAACGAGAUUUUUGCAAAUGGUUUAUCUCCUAAUGUUGUCAUCUACACCUCUAUAAUUGAUGCCUAUUGCAAGGUUGGAAAGGUUGGUGCUGCACUAGAGGUCUUCAAAUUGACGGAACAUGAAGGCUGCCGUCCAAAUGCCUGGACUUACAGUUCUUUGAUAUAUGGGUUAAUUCAGGAUCAAAAGCUUCAUAAGGCAAUGGCUUUAAUAACUAAAAUGCAAGAGGAUGGGAUAACUCCUGGUGUUAUCACAUAUACUACUCUGAUUCAAGGCCAGUGUAAAAAACAUGAAUUUGAUAAUGCUUUCAGGCUGUUUGAAAUGAUGGAGCAGAAUGGCUUGACACCUGAUGAGCAAGCAUACAAUGUUCUAACUGAUGCACUAUGCAAGUCUGGCAGAGCUGAAGAAGCUUAUUCGUUUCUUGUCAAGAAGGGAGUUGUCCUCACAAAAGUAACAUAUACAUCUUUAGUUGAUGGUUUUAGCAAGGCUGGCAAUACUGAAUUUGCUGCUGCCCUUAUAGAGAAGAUGGUCAAUGAGGGUUGUAAGGCAGAUUCACACACAUAUAGUGUACUGCUGCAGGCUUUAUGUAAACAAAAAAAGCUGAAUGAAGCUUUGUCUAUACUGGAUCAGAUGACCCUAAGGGGAGUCAAGGGUAACAUUGUUGCUUAUACAAUAAUUAUCAGUGAAAUGAUAAAAGAAGGGAAGCAUGACCAUGCUAAGAGCAUGUUCAAUGAAAUGAUUUCAUCAGGACAUAAACCUAGCGCAAUCACAUAUACUGUAUUCAUUAGCUCAUACUGCAAGAUAGGUCGAAUAGAGGAGGCUGGGCAUCUAAUUGGGGAAAUGGAAAGAAAUGGUGUCGCACCUGAUGUGGUAACCUAUAAUGUAUUCAUUAAUGGUUGUGGGCAUAUGGGUUAUAUGGAUUGUGCAUUUUCUACCUUGAAGCGCAUGAUAGAUGCAUCAUGUGAGCCAAAUUACUGGACUUAUUGGCUUUUGCUCAAGCAUUUUCUAAAAAUGAGUUUGGCUAAUGCUCAUUAUGUAGACACAUCUGGCAUGUGGAACUGGAUCAAGCUGGACACAGUUUGGCAGCUUCUUGAAAGGAUGGUGAAGCAUGGCUUAAAUCCUACAGCAGUGACAUACAGUUCUAUCAUUGCAGGAUUCUGCAAAGCAACACGUCUAGAAGAAGCAUGUGUGCUUCUUGAUCACAUGCUUGGAAAAGAUAUAUCUCCCAAUGAAGAGAUAUACACAAUGCUUAUCAAGUGCUGUUGUGAUAUCAAGCUCUUUGAAAAGGCCGCAUCAUUUGUUACCAACAUGAUAGAAUGUGGGUUUCAGCCUCAUCUCGAGUCCUACCACUAUCUUAUUACAGGCCUCUGCGAUGAGGGGGACUAUGACAAGGCUAAAGCAUUGUUCUGUGACUUGCUAGAAAUGGACUAUAAUCAUAAUGAAGUUGCAUGGAAAAUUUUGAAUGAUGGCUUGCUGAAAGCUGGCCAUGUGGAUAUUUGUUCACAGUUGCUGUCUGCUAUGGAGAAUAGACAUUGUCGGAUUGACUCUGAGACAUAUUCAAUGGUGACAAAUAACAUUCAUGAGGCUUCUGGCAGUGUGGUUAGUGAACUCAGAGGAGAAGCUGCCUGACCGAUGGUAAAUUUCAUUGUAUUCUUUCCCAUGGUGGACAAUUGUUCUCUAUGAGCCAGGCUCAACAUUUUGAAAACAGCAAUUUCAUCUGGGUCAUCGGAUAUAAUGGUUAGUGUUCCCACAGAUCAUGUGGGAGUAUGCUUAUCACACCAUAUUUUAUCAAAAUGCUUUUUGCCUCAAAACUGGAACUGACAUAGCUCUUUCUUCCUUUUUGUUCAUGAUGACAGCAUUUUACCUUCUGUAUCAAAUGCAGUGUAUGAGAGCUACAUGUGUGCACCACUUGUAGGCCAGAACAGGAUGCAGCACGCGCUGCUCGGCCUGGCUCAUCUGACCUACUCUGCGUCACCGGUCCCGAGGCUGACGCAGCACGCCAGCACCACCAGACUGCUGAAUUUGAAGGGCUACAGUGAGACGUUGCUCCGGACGGCAUGAGAGGAUUGCAGGACGGCCCUCGGCCCUGCGCCAAAUAGGGAGACGAUGAUCAUCUCGAUCUGUCGCAGCGCUGCUGGGUUCGCCAAAGACGUGAGGAUGCCCGGAUCAAUUAAACUACCAUGACUGAACUAACCAUGCUUAUACAAACUAAUGUUUUUCUGUGUUUCCUCAACGGUCCACGCAUUUUAGCGCAGAGGAACCACAGUAAACCUCCUAUGCCACUCUAUAUUUUAUUACCUUCUGCUGCACAAGCUAAACCUCCUAUGCCACUCUAGAUUUUAUUACCUUCUGCUGCACAAGCUAGAUACUUCUUGCUUUGUUGUAGCCAUAUGCAGUGCGAGGGUAGUACUCCCUCCAUUCUACAUGUUUUAGCUUUUCUAGGUACAUUAUUUAUUAUGUAUUUGGACAUAAUGUAUAUCUAAAUAUAUAGCAAAAGCUCUAUAUCUAGAAAAAGCCAAAACGUCUUAAAAAUUUGGAAUGGAGAGUGUAUUGGAGAGUGUGACUGAACUGUCAUUUCUUCCUUUAACAAAAAGGAGAACGAGUGGGUAUUACCUUGUACAUCACAAACACGAGAAAUUUUUUUUUCCUCAUUUGCACCUACAAAUAUAAUUGGAGAAAUUGACCCAUCCUUAGGAAGAAUUUUUUUUAAUUAAGGUUACCAUUGCUACGGUAUACUCAUGGCAAAUUAAGGGUUACCAUUGCUACGGUAUACUCAUGGAGAUAAUGCAUAUAGAAACUCCUGCCAAGCUUCCAAUAACUAGGAUGCACGGAUGGUACUUCAGAUUAACAUUGCGUUGAAAAGCCGCCACGAUCAUAGGAGGUGAAAAAUUGAUGCAACGAACUUCACAUUAAUAACCUUUUUGGUAGCAACACAAAGAUAACAUGAAAUUCAUCCGAGUUAUGAAACAAUAUGAAAAUCAUCUGGGAACACCAAAGCACAGCAAAGGUCCCUUCAAACCAUUGCUCCAUGAAUGAAACAUGGCAUCUAUUGAUCUAUAGAUGCAGUGAAUAUAUCAUUAGAACUUUCAGCAUUAACAUCGUUUAGUUACAAGAGAGUUAUAAAGCCGUCCAAGGAAUAUGCCAACGCAAGACCUGAGUGGUUGCAUGGGGGCGCAAGUUGUUCUCCGGCUAAGCCUUAACGUCUCUGCGCACAUUCCACGGCAUUGCUUCUUCGUUUCUAGCAAAACAAAAUGGCUAGAACUUGAACAGCGAGCUAAAAUUGCAGUGUUCCACCGUAAUGCUGGCUGACAGAAUCCUACAAAAUGAUUGCACAGUUAGAUGCCAUAAUAAAGUCUUAUGUAUUCCGUCAAUCAAAUAAUAAAGUAUUGUAUUCCAUGAUGAAAAUAAUAAGUCCUGCAUACGUAGAUCACUGUUUGCUUCUAUCAGAGGAGAAAAAACAAGUAUUCGGUAAUCAAAUAGUCAGAUGAGGUGAAGGGCAAAAGCCUGUCCAAGUUGAUCAACCGAUAACAAGGCAGAGAAAUGAAGUGGAUAGGAACUCCAGAAUGCAUGGAACGACUGGAAUUAGAGAUAUAAACAUGAGAUCGGCUCUCAACUAUGACAUCAGCAUGUAUUGGGAGGGGUAGAGGUGGAAAAUAGUUGAAUUUCCACUCCUAUUAACAUGUAUUGAGAAGGAAUGGGUUUAUCCAAACAGGCCUUGAAGUUGGUGAAACAACAUAGCAGGAUGCAAAGGUAUAUGAAUGCAACAAGUUAUAUCAUACAGGUACGUCAAAGAAUAACUAGAUGUGUAGAAUUUUACCUGUAGGAAAGGAAGGAUGCUAUCAUGUAGUUCCAGAAAAAACUCUGAUGCUGAUGAGAAUCUGGAAACGAUAGAACAAUAAUUUUCAUCAUGACUCAAAACAUAUUUAUUGGUUUGGUUAAUGCAGCUAUUGAGAUUUUGGUCUGCAAGAAAUAGCUUUCUAUCUAGUGAUUCUUACCUUUUCAGAAGGCAAAAACAUUUGUAGAGCUCUUCAAUAUCAUCUUCAACUUUCAGUUGUAUGUAGUGUCUAAGAAGCUCGGAGAGGCAUGCAUGAGUUUCAUUCCAUUCUUCACUACCUGAGUUAGGACACAAAGGUAGGAACGAAGCUACAGGCUCUAGAACAGAAGACAAUGGUCUUUGACAGCUGGAAUCUGUGUGUUGCUCUGCAAUUACAUUCAAAAUCAGGCAACUGCUAACUCUAAACUGUUCAAUCCAUUUUUGAGAACUUCCUGGUGGGAGAAAAGUCCUCGGGUUUUCUGGAUCAUCAGCUCCACCAUCAAUAGGAGAUCUAUUUUCAGCUCUAACAACAUUAAGUGAUUUACUUUCAGAUACAUUGGAAGUGCUGCAUGCAGGAUCUCCUGACCUAUGUAAUGGAAGCGCACUAAACAAAUCAGCCUUCACAUCUUCAGGUAAUUCCUGCAGAACUGUUAGAUCUGCCUGGCUUAGCGAAUCAGGCAUCAAAUCAAGCUGUGUAACACUUUUUGUUGUUUUCUCAGCUAAUGCGCUAGCUCUUGAGCAUGAAGCAUUAUUGGCUGCUUUAGAUUCUGAUAGCUGUUCCUCAGAUUUUCCCUAUGGGGGUAACGGUAAAAUUAGAAUAGUGUGCAACAGGUUCAAAAUAUUAAGAUAAAGAGGUAACAUAACUAAAUUGUGUGCUUGCGCUUUGUUUAAAAACUUCCAGCACUACUUUGUUUCCAGUGACAAAGCUCACCUUAGUAUGUUCCUCCUCUGAAUGCAUGGAGUCUUCGUGGUCUCUGUAUCCGUGAAGCUUUGCAUCACCAGGUACAGAAUCACAAGUAACUGCUGGCAGAGCAAGAGAUUUUGAACUAUUUCCCUUGCCCUUAUCACUAUUGAGGGUGUCCACAAGACCUUGUAAUUCUCCCUUGUACAUUUCAUUCAUUUCAGAUAUUAUCUCUGGGGGAAGGUUCUUCAGGACCUCCAAAUCAAGUUGGGAUAAUGGAGGCAGCUCGAUAUUGUGAACUACAGUAGACCUAUCACUUCUAACGUUCACUUCUGCUGUAUGUGAUGGUCCAGAUCUUCUCAAAUCCUGCAGUCGACUAGUCCCUACAGAAGCUCCAAGCAGUCAAUUCUCACUGAACAGAACACAGUGAACACUAUGAAACAUAGCUUUGCAUGAUAGCAGUAGUUGCCCAAUACCUGCAACAUCAACAUUCCCCUGCAUCUCACUGUGGUGUUUCUUGAGCUUGACAGCUGGUGAAGCAAGCCAUGAUUCAAGCAUAUUUCCUUGAGGUGCUUCAUUGGAAAAUAAGAACCAAUAAGAACCAUUAGGAUCAAGGAGCUAAGUGCAUACAAAAUAUGUCAAGUGCCAGAAACAGAAGCAGAGGCAGCUAUGAAGAUUUUUUCCUUUUCUUUUUUUUUUGGAAGGGGGGAGGGGGGAUAUCUACUGCUUUACCUUACUUAGGGAGGACAGUGCUUGCUUAUUGUCGAGAUACUUCCUUAUUAAAUAUUAUUUUAGCAUGGAAGCACUUGAGAACCAAAGGGCCAAUAUGUAAACUGUAAGAACUGUUGACUUUUGCAUCAACGUACAGCAUAUGCGUCUUUUGAUAUUAUUUUAUUUCAGGCAAUGAGGCAAUAUUAAACUAGUGUUUCCUUUAUAAGAAAAGAAAGGGGAUAUGGCGGUGGACCGGUGGUUCUAGCAUAUGCAUAUCUAGGUUUCAUCAAUCAAAUCCUUAAGUUGCUCUCAGCAAUCAAGACACUGCUCUGUCUCUAAAAAGUAAUAGUUCCUUCAGCUAGCAUCAGUCUGAAAAGUAGUGCACCUUAUACUUAGCAUUCAGAUUCAGCUGUUGUUACUGUUAAGUUUUAAGACAUACUUUGCUCUGAAAUGCCUAUAAUAAGAUGAAAAUGCACAAACAGCACACCUUUUAUUAUUUUAUAGAAACAAUGCUGCUUAUUUAUCACAUCCACUAGACCACUAUGGAAAUCCGAAAAGUAUUUUUACACCAAACCACAUGGGGAUAGAAAUAAUAAGGAAAUAGAAAGAAUCCAAAUAGCAAAAGAUACCUCCCCGACCCAAAUCUGCAUGCUCAAGCUUUGACAGUGACAGUCCAAUUCCACGAACUUCCUUCACAUCUGGGAUGUGAGAUUGCACAAUUUAGUUAUCAACACAGUAUUGAUGGAAUGUUCAUUAAAGGUCUGCAGCACAUAAGGUGCAUAUAAGAUAUGGAAGAAAAAUAUAUUGAAUUUACCAAGACGGAGAGCUGAAAAUAAUUGUUUUGCAAUUCGCUGAAGAGUGAUAAAACUGUCAGUUGCACCUGCAAUCUUUGAGACAGUACAGAGUAGUAAAGAUUAGAAUAGAAAUCAAAAGAAUGCACAAUACACCUGGUAACAUAUCACAUUUUUUGCAUCAUGGAAAUUUAGAAGCAAAUAAUGCAUAUAAGAAUGCGCACUUCAUACUCAUAAUACAGGAUAAACACUUAGCCUAUGCAUCAUCACAAUUACAUACAAUGAUAACUUGAUACACAACUACUAAAACGCUAAGGAUAUGUACUACUGUGCUCCCCUAAAAAAAUUAAGUUCAUAUGCACCAGUGAACCCCAUACCGUCAUAGAACGACUCGUGGUUUCACAAUCACCACAUCCCAUAUACUUUAUUGGUUCCCCAGCACCUUCCCUUCUUGUUUUCACCUUCAAGGCAAACAUUCAGUUGAUACCUAACUAUUUUUUGUACAGAUGAGUGAAAGAAAAGUAUGUAGUCAAUAGAAAGUAGAAACAACCUUAAGAGUAACAGUACGUCCCUGAACUCCACACCCCUGCAAGCGUAGAGAAACCUCCUUACAGAGAUUGGUAAGAAAAUGCUCAGCCUGCAACAAACAUAGAAGUGAUCAAAUCACACAUGAAUUAUGAAAAGGCUAGUGCUACAAUGAUACAGAACAGAGAAACAGAAAGGACCCACAUCUUUGUUGUCAUUAAAUCUGACUCCCCAGUUGAUUUCAGCACCCACAGAUUUUGUUUCCUGCAUUGUGUGCAGAGGACAAUACUUUAGUAGAGCAACUAAUUAGUAUCACUAAACUUAUUAUCACCAUAUUGCCUUCCAAAGGGCUGGAUGAGAUGUUAGAACAAAAAAACAAAAUAUUAUAACAACAAACAAAUACCCUUCACACUGAUGCUGGAGUCCCACAUACCCAGAAGCAUACUCUCCAUCAAUUUAAAAUUUAAUACCGAUCAUGAGGGGAAAAGGAUAUAAUUCUAUCAAGGUAUGUUCAACUAAUGAGCCAACAAUACACAAAAGAUGACAUGCUUAAUUCUGCAACCUGAACACAGAACUAACAUGGAACUACAAGCUCCCAAAUUAUUAUACAUUGACAAAAGAGCAAAUAGACCCACUAGCCCAACCUGCAGUUCCCAACAAACCACAGUCCACAGGUGUUCCUCUAUACCAUUAUCAUUCUAUUUUAGUACAUUCAUCCUGCAUACAGGAUGUAGUCCACAACCAUGCUGAGCUGAACAACUGAUCCUGGUGCUAUCCUCCUACCUAACAUAGAAGCCAGGUGUUCAAAUCUUCAUUCCCGCACUUUUUCCUCAGCAAUUACCAAAACUUUUCCACUUGGCAGCACUUUGUAUGUGUAUGCGUUAAGGCAACCGAAAUGCCUUGAUUAAAACUGGACGGUUCAAAUUGUUAUUUCUGAAUCUAUUUCUUCGAUGUUCUUGGGAGCAUGAGCAGAUCAGUAGAGCUGCCUGCUCCAGGUAUUUACAUCCCAUACACCAGUUGAGCGCAGUUUUCAGUAAAACAAAAUAGGCACAGGCACUCACAACUGAAGCAAUGGCUGAGAUGCUCUUUUUUGUACCUGAACAGAUCCAACAACUGAAUGAUCAAUUCCUCUACAAUAAUUCCAUAAAAGAUCACCAGUCUUUUUUCCAAAGUCCUUGUGGAGGGCAUCCUACAAAAGAAGCACUGGCAUAUAAUAACCAUAUUUGGAGAGGCAGUUGAGAAAACAUCAAUAUUCAUCUAGACAAGAAAUUAUAUAUAAUCCUAAAGAAUGUGGUUGGCAUUAUGUGACCAUCACACAGUAUAUGACCUAGACGAUGUACUUAUGACUUGUAAACAAAACAAUUUUAUUCUGCAUUAGUAAAUGCAUUUAAAGUCAAGACUGGAACACAACUCUUUCCACGAGGAAAGGGGGCUGCUUUAUGUUACACUACACAAAUAGCGCCGACGAACCUUUGGAACAUUGCGAAGUUGGCCACAAUAUUCAAUUUCUUUGCUUUUCAGUUUAGAUGAAACCGUAUGACCAAUACCAGGAAGUGCUUUGAUAGAGAGACUACUCAAAUAAUCAUCAGCCUGUAAGAGAUACAUGUUGCAGUCAGUAAAUCGCAUGUCCCUAACUCCUUAUGAAGAUUAUGAUAUCAACUUAUUAAGUAAGACAAGCUACAGCCAUGUAGUACAAAGUACAUCCUUUUAGAGGGAGUGGCACCACUAGUGAUUUUCUUUAAUCAGAUAGGACUUCAAGGAAUGACAAACAAAAUUAGUAACUUAAUUCAAUACCCAACAAGCUCAUAACCAACUCCCAGAAAUAAUAUAACUAAUUCAACAGUCAAUAUUUCAUAGAGAUAUUUGAACAAUAUAGACAUGAUAUCCAAACAUCCCAGCUUAUUUUUCAGGUCUCUUGGGAACAGAAGAAUGUUGCAGGCAGUGUAUUUUCUUCACCAUUCCUGGGUCAGUACUCUUUUUUUCAGAUGGGGCCUUAAGUAAGACUCAGCUAAAUAGCCAUUUAAGACCUUCUAGGCUCUAGGGUAGUUAAGCAGAUUUAAUAUACCUAAGAAACUAUUACAGAUAAGAUCUUACAUAUAUCCUUGUUGCCUAUAUCAGGAGCUAACAGGACAAUGAUACCAUAAGAUUCAGUGUGUCCUAAGCUUGUUUAACUGUUCUAGAAAGCAUUCAUUAGCUGUGAUGCUCUGUUUACAUCAAAGGAAUGAAAAAGUGACCAAAUAUUUGGUGCAAUCAUGAAAAAAAACCCUGAAACACAUACCUAGAAAUUUUCAAAAUUUUGGAAUGGUGCACAUCCAUAGUGCAUUUAUAGAUGUACAUUGUCACCCAAAUGUAAAAUCAUUUUCUAAAAAACCAUAUGAAAAUAACAAAUUUCAGGUGCAUAUGUACUGUAAGACAAUUUUGUCUUCUAGUGCACAUGCACAUGAAUUUUGUUAUAUUCUUGUGAAUUUUUGUAGACUGAGUUUGGAACUUUGAAUCUCGACUUUUAUGACAAUGUACAUCUAUAGAUGCGCUAUGAUGGGAAUCAUUUCAAAAAAAAAAAAGAAUUUUGCAGGUAUGUGUUUUCAUGGUGAUGCGGUUUGAGUUGAAUAUUUUCCUCAGAAAAAUCCUAUGGAAAUCCUACAUGCAAUGAAUAUUCAGGUCCUCGUUCAAAAUCACCUAGAUGGAGCGGUUUGCAUAAAUAUAUAGAGAUAACAGUGGGCACAGACAUGCAGUUAGGACUUAGGAGCAUGUCCAUUAGCAACAGCAUGCAUAUACCUUUUCAGAGGGAAUAAAACAUUGUCCAUUCGGCUUUGCAGAUCUGGUAGCUAACCGAGCUAGGAGCAUGUUUUCAGCAAUACCUGCACUAGCAGUACACUUUGUUGCAUGAAAAAUCUCACUUCUUAUUCUCUGUGUUACUUCCUCAGGAUUGUCAUGUAAGCAUUCAGUCAUAUCCAAAAAAGCUUCAUCACAACUCAAAGCCUGAAUUGUGGAUAACAUUGUCAGCACUGUAGGUGGAAAUCAAUAAUAAUCAAACUAUGGGGAUGUAUCGCCAAUGAAGAUAUGCUGUGUCAGCAUGUAUAGUCCUGGAGUGUACCUGAACCUUACUGCAAUGUUUGUGCAAAGUACCAUAGAACUGAUCAGCAACCUACAAGAAUUCGAGUCACUCAGAUUCUCAAAUUCAAUUCAACAAAAGUAAAAGAGGAGUUAGCCAUCAAAUGGACUAUCUUAAAUUCUUAAAAAAUAUACCUCCUCAUAUGCAUCAAAGUUAUAAGGAACGAUCAUUAGGUGAGGGCACCGAGCUUUAGCAUCUCUAACAAACAUGCCAGCCUUUAUCCCUGGAAUGCACCAAUGAGGAUGCAACCUAUGUUCAAAUGUGUUCACAUAAGAAAAUUAUGUCUCAAUUAAAGGAAAGGAAAGUAACGGCACCAUAAUUUCGAGCCGGAUAGUUUGCAGAUGAUAUUUCUGCUGUUCCUUUAGGAUUGUCCGAAUGGCAAACUGCUACUGGUUUAUCAUGCAGCUCUGGCAUAUUUCUGAUGACGACAGACACAAAAAAACAAUCCUGGCAGAAACGUUAUGUCAACAAUCAAGAAUUCAAGAUAAUUAAGUAUAACACAAGCAACUCAAGCAUAUUCCUGAAGACAAACAUUACCAAACUACGUCUUGGAAUUGCAGAGUAUGACAGCAGGAAAAAAAGGGCUUCCAAUUAGUGAUAAAUUCAACUCGUAACUCACAAUUUGAAACUACAAUUUGGACUGAACCUUUCAAGCGUAAACCUCAUUUCAUGCACACCUGCUUGCAUCUCUUUUUCACAUAGAAUCUGGCAACACAUAUCCUAGUUUAUUGUUGAAUGGAUCAACAGUAGGUACUUGCAUUCACAAUUCAGCAUUUGGUUAGCAUUUUGUACAGUCAUAUUCCUCAGAAGGUCAUUUGCUCUUUACAACUACAUUAUCAAUCCAUCACGAUUACUGGAUUCAAUACUAUAUUUGAAAUCCAUACAGCAAACUAACCUCACUUCCUAUUUUUUAUGGCUGUUUAGCUUUCUGCAACUAAACAGGACGUGGCAGCAAAAGUAAAUGUCCAAGAGCAUAGAAGAAACUACAUAUCACACUCUUAGCUACAAAAUAAAAGAUUUCUUUGAUAAGAAUUCAACGUUCAAGAUGCAGUUCUAUAUAUCUAUAGCUCACCAUAGCACAAGAUUACCAUAUCAAUAUGAAUGAUUGUUUUCUUCUUGCCUGAAUGAUCAGCACUUGACUUAAUGACUUUAGCUUCCAGCAAAUUAGAGAAGCGCUUUCGAUACCGAUUUCUCCAUGUCCCAAUGAAGUGCAGUCGAGAGUACUACAACACCAAACAAGAACAUCAAAUAAAACUACCAGUAUAACCCAAAAAUGCAUGAUACAGUCUACAGGAAGAUAUAUGUGAUGUCAUCAUGGAGUAGAAGCAGCAAAGCUUAGUAACAGAAGCUUUCAAAACAUAAAAUGGCAAAUUUAAAUAGAGCACCAAAUGUGACUGACAAAUCAGAAUUUGCCAUUUGUUCCAACUACAUACCUUGAAAUAGUUCUCAACAAAAUUCGGAUCUGUUAGGGUUGAAUGUGGUCGGCCAGAAGGUUUAGCUGCACUUUUCUCCAAUGGCAAGGACACAUGACUGCCUGUAGAGCUUGUACUGCAUAAAUUUGAGCACCUUGACUUUGCAUCAGGGGAUUGAGGCACACCAAGGUUAUCAUCUGUGUCGUUACGGCUUUCUGAACAGGCAGUUUCACAAUCAUAUUCACCCUCAUCAACUGUGAAAUCUCUGCUCUCUCUUUCUUCAGAUGCUGAUGCCUUCUGUUCAUCCGAGGAUAACGAGUCCUUUGAUAACUCCACAUUAUCCAUUGAAGCUUCACUUUCACAAUCCCCACUUUGAUACUGUGAUCCCUCCUGAGCAGACGAAGAUUGGAACUCAAUAUCCUUAUUUUUGUUGUUUUGUCCCCCCUUGUGAUGCAUUUCAUUUUGUUUCUCAGAAAAGAAAGAAGAAAGCUUCAUCUGCUUUCGGCUUGAAGAACUAUUCUGAUUUAUUUGAUAAGGAGCACCUUAGUUAAAAUAACAAAAACAAACGCAUAAGAACAUUUGAAGCCAUGAGUGCAUACAAGCUAUGUGCUGUGUGCACUUAUUUUAAGAGACUAAUCUUGAUAUUCCUAUCAUAAAUGAGGACAUAUGUUCACAAACUAAGCAAAAUAGUGUAGGAUAAUGGUUUCACAUAGAAGUUUACAAGUAGGCCUUCAUAAUAAAGCAUAGUUAUAAAGGAUGGACAGAAAUGUGGGGCAAUCUAUCUUAAUCUAAGAAACAAAUUAUUAAGAAUGUUGUGCUCAUGGUUAGAAUAAAACCUCUACCUCAGUUUCAGGUGAAGUUUGCAAUCAGUGCGUAUAUAUAAUCAUACAAUGCCAGCUCAAUAAACCUUGUUACCAACCAGUCUAUUACAAGCAACAUGUUCAAUCUAGCUAUAGCACUAGUGAAACAAAAGUUGCAAUAAGGAAGCAGAAGAUUUAGCACUGCACUGACUACAAAAGGUGAGAGAGGACAAGAGAAAAUACAGUUGAGUAGCCGGUUCUCUGCCAGGGAAUCCACCACCCAUGCUGGCUUCACAACAGGAAGUCCCUUGCUGAAUGCUCUGGAUCAAACAGCAGCAUGAUCACCAUAAUCAAACUAGAAAGCAAAAUAAUGGCAACCCAGAUGCCCUGUUCCGUUAAGUACCUCAGAUUCUUCAUUUUGCUAUCAGGCAGGUUGCUGCAAACAAUGUGUGUCACCGUGUGCCUGGAGAAGUAGUUGACAAACCGGCCUCCAUUGUUCAGCAUAAUCUCUUUCAGCUCCUACCGAACCCCAAGCACAAAACAAACAGCCCAAAAAGUCAAACCGACAUGAUCCAUACUGUUGCAUCUACAGUAAUUAUUACAUUGUUGGUGAGAUAAUUUGGUGCUGUAUAAGAACCCUUGAGAUGAGCAUGAGCUGACGGCGCGCGACAGUCACCUGGCUAGAAGGGACUGUGAAGCCGUCGACGAAGAUGGAGACCCCAGCGAAUAGACAGCCGGCGGCCGCGCCAGAGAUGGAGGCAUCGGCGUCGAACUGCGCGGCGAGCUUGCUGUUCUUCGCGGCCAUGUAGGAGCCAAAGUCUGCGAAGGGGGAGGAGGCGAAAGCGCGGCGAGGGUUUUUGGCGGGGUCGGGGUCGGAUGGGGACCCGCUGCUGGCCUCAUCCCUCGCCCGCUUCUGGCCUGGAGACGAGGCGGCCGCCGCCGAAGAUGAGGGGGCGCGGCGGGCCGAGGAGGUGGAGCUCAUGGCGGCCGGUAACGGCGGGGUGAGGCGGUGGCCAGUGGCCGGUGAGGCUGGGAGCGGAGGGGGCGGCGAGUCGGGAGCACGCGCGAGAGGAAUGGUCCUUUUUUCCGGUCAAGUACUCAAGUGGUGGAAACGCAGCGGCGCGGGCUAGUGCGCAGUUGCUGAAACGGUCGCUGGCUCGCUGGACGGAUGGGUUCGACGGCCCAGGCUUUUGGGCCGUAUUAUUUCUCGACAAAUGUUGCCAGCAAAAAGAAAAGUCCAGAUAGAUGAUUUCCAGCAAACAAAAGUCCGGAUAGAUGAUUUCCGUUCGUACUACUGUGACCUACAAUGAGCAAAUAUUGUCAUUCUGGUUUUAUUAUAAACUAAAUAAUAUUUAAAUUUAUUCCGCUCAAAAGUAUUAUUAAAAUUAAUUAGUUCUGUAUAAACAUAUCAAUAUUUAUAAUACUAGGUAAAUAUCAUUAAAGUUGUCAUAAUAUAUAGUUUCAUAGCAAUUCUAUUUGAUGUCAUAAAUGUUAAUGAUCUUGUUGAUAAUCUUUUUUAUAAAAUUAGUUAAGCAUAAGAUACUUGGACUUACAAGGUAAAACUAAAACAUCAUUAUUUCUAGGAUGAAGAUAAUAUUAAAUAAUACUUUCACCAUUCAUUUAUUUCCUUCAUCUAAGCAAAAAAAUUUAUUCAAAUAUCUCCUUCAUAUUAGCUUGAGAGUUACCUCCAUUUAUUGCCUCUUUGUUGCUCAUGGCUACCACUUAUCUGUAUUUAUUGCCUCUUUGCUACUUAUUAGUUGUUGGCUCAGCCCGAGAUGAUUAAAUGCAAAGUGAUUGUUUUUUGCUCUGUUCCUUGGUUAUUGUGCCGAAGGCUAAAGCGAUAGAGAUAAGGGCCUGUUUAGAUCCCAAAUCUUUACAUCCCAAAACUUUUGGUUGUAAACUUUACAUUCAAAUAGGUGUUUAAAUGCUUCCCAAAUUUUUUGGUCUGCAACACACAAGACACGGGUCCCUAAGCAAGUUUACACAGUUUUGGGGCUCCAAGGUCCCAAAUUCUAAAUCUUUACAGCCAAGUUUUACAAGCCCCUGUUUAGAUCCAUUCUUCCAAAAAGUGCUCAUUUCUCCAAAAGUUUUGGUUGUUUGGCUGCAUCUAAACAGAGCCUAAAUUAAUGGAGGGAGUAUGAUAUGUAAGUGAAACCUGAUGACAUGAGAAGCGGUGUUGAUUUCAUCUAAACAAAACUAGUUACACAACCAUUUUGAAAAUUUGAGAACCAUUAGAUCAGUCUCAAUGCAUGUUUCAUGGGAAUGUCAUGCACAUUUAAUAGGGUGUCACAUAAGCAAAAUUGCUGACUUGGCAGGGUCAUUAAAUGAAGGAGUUUCAUUAGAUGAGAGAGGAGUUUCAUCCCUAUAAAACUCAUAUGGCUCGGUUACCUAGUUUAUAGUCUUGGUAACUGUGUCAUAAAACUAUGCAUUGAGACUGCCCUUACACACAUGUUGGAGGCGAACAUUUUAUUUCAUCGAACGAUCCUCCAAUUUAGUUCACGCAUUAAAUGCUAUGAUUAGCUUAUAAGACAAAAAUUUACACCAUGAAUUAGAGAGGUGAAGGAGCUAGUUUGAAAGCCGACUUAAACAAAUCUAUAUAAACAUGUCACCUUUUAGAAACAACAAAAUGGAACUUCAUAUUGAGGCUUGCCUUAUGACUUUGAGAUGUGGACGUAUAAAAGUUUUUAAACAAACUUGUGAACCAGUUUCAAUACGGUGUGUGCUAGGUGCACUAGCAACAUAGAGGUAAAAGAGUAUUUCAAUAGUGAUUAGUAGUAGUAGCACCAACAGCUAGUGGUCAGGUAAGAGUGUCAGUUUGCUCGUGAUUUAGACUAUCCAGCCAUGGAUUGACUUUGAUUCAAUCUCAUUAGGUUGAAAAAAAAAAGAAUCUCUAGUAUGUGAUUAGGUGAUCUAGGGCGACUAAGAGCUUGAGCCAGAACAUAGCUGGCACUUAUAUGUGUGAUAUAUAGUCACAAAGAUGUUUGCUACGACCAAUUUCAUCAUGGUUACCAUUUGAUAGUUUCUUUAGUCAUUUAGUGUCCAUUUAGCACAACUCUAGCUUAAGCUCAGGUUAGAUAUGUAGUCUGAAUACUAAAUGAAAAUAAUUUAAAUAUCUAUACACAAAAAAAAAAUCAAUGUUGCUAACAUAUCUCUAGCUUCAGAUUCAAGGUUUCCUCGAGAUAGGUAGCUUCAAGAAUUUCACUUCUCCGAACAGGUAUUUAAGCCUUAAACUAAUUUGGCGUACAAGGUCACCGGAGUCAUGAGAAAAUACUGAGUUAAUUUAAGGUUCCAAAAGCACGUUAAGAAAAAUGUACUCCCUUCGUAUAAGAUUUAGAAGUUGUUUUGAACAAGGUUUGGAUCAAACAUUGAUAAUAUAAAUCAUCAAUAACUUUUAAAUUAUUGAGUUUGCAAAUGUGAAAAUUAUAUCAAUAGAUUUGUCUUGAAAAAUACUUUCAUAAAAAUAUACAUAUAUUAUUUUUUUCCUAAAUAUUUUUAUAAAAAUAAGAGGUCAAAAUUGUGUUUUAGAGACCGUGUCAAACAACUUCUAAAUCCUAUAUGGAGGGAGUACACCAUGUAUUUACAACCAUCAUUUGACUAAUCCAGCCAGUACCAUAAGUGCACUCACAAUGUAGACUCUAUCAUAGAGUCUAAAGUUAUUUAUUACCUUGAACAAUGUGGACUUAGAGUCUAAAUAAGAGCAAGUAUAAUGAAUGGCUGUAAGCCGGCGAAAUAUGACGUGGCAGGGAGUGUAAAGCAGAGAGAGUACAGAGCGGACGUUUCGCGAAACGGCGACCUGAAGUGGGCGGAUAUGCAGGAGCUCCACUUCCAUUGGUUGCUCUAUUGUUGUGCUAGCUCUGCACUGGGUGCAUGUGCGGCAGCUGCCAUUGCUACAUUUAAUUGGAAUCCACGCUGAACUUUAUUUCGCUCGCCGACGGACGGUAUCAUUAUACUUGCUCUAAGACUUGAAGUCUUAUUUUUUUCUACCUCUUUUUUCAAUAAAUAUGUUGUCACAUCAACAAAAUACCAUAAAUAAUAUAUAAUUAAUUGUCUUGGACUCUGUGAUAAAGUCUUACAUUGUGAGUGCCCUGGGUGGCUGGGUGUCUCUCUUUUUUUUGGUAAUUGUUCUCCUUCCUCAAAAUCGGUAGACUUGUCCGUUAGUUUUUUUUUUUUUUGACUUGUUGACUGUCUGCCAAAUGUCAUACGUAUCUACGAUUCUACGCUACAGCCUUUGUUUGAUUGAGCGUGCAAGAAGCACUUCACUAAAAAGCUACACAAAUAGAGAAAAAGUACAUUCAGAAAACUAUAUCUGACCUAACUUAUCUGUUUUUUUAACUUAAAUGGGAGCGUCAUCGUGGCCAGGAGAGAACACCGAAAACAAGUUACUAGUUGCAAUUUCUUUGACUAUAUAAGCACCUUAGAAGUUAUAUCGCAGACAAGCCUUACAAGUUUAUUUCUUCUAUAUGUAUAAAAAAGUACACUUAUACAGUUUAAUCCAAAAAAAUGCAUUUCUUCUAUAUAUAUAUACUAGAUGUAUAGAUAAAUUUAUACACCCAAAAAAAGUUAAAAUAACUGAUAAUUUAGAGCGACUUAUAAUUUAUAACGAUGAGAGUAAACAUCAUUAGAUUCAUUGUGAAGUGUAUUUUAUAAUACGCUCCCCCUAUUCUGACAAGGGAUUGAAAUGUUUAAAAAAUUGUCUCAAAUGACAAGGUAUUCUAAAUUGCUCAACUACAUCCAUGUGUGCCUGCCUUUUAACCCACAUAUAUGCAAUACCUUGUUGUAAAAAAAACUUACAACUGGCAGUCAAGCCAAUUACAUGUAUGCAUGCCUUUUGUAAACUAUGCGUGACUAGAAAAUUCAAGCAAAUUGCUAACCAAACUAACUGAUUAGUGAGAGUCAAGUUAGUGUUUUAACAAACUCCUUAUUUAGUCAUGAAAAUGUUUGGGUAUUUUUUAGAAUGAAAGGCUACAUUUAUUUAGAAUCAUUAAUCAUUGAUACUUUUUUUUGUAAAUUUAGAUUAAAGUAUUUUGACUUUGAUCAUACAUGUAUUACAUCCGUCCACAAAAGAAUGUAUCUAUGUUAUUCGUGUCCAUUAAAGUAAUUCAAGUUUGACCAAGUGUUAGUGUGAAUAGUUCAUAUGUUAUAUCUCUCAAUCAAAUUACUACAAAAAUAUAUUCCAUAAUUAAUUAAUAUACUGAUACUUAUUUUAUAUCAUAAUUCUUACUGUUCUUUAGUAUAACAAAUUUAAAAGCAUUUGAAAAAAUAAUCAUUAUAUUUUUUUUUUGUAGACGGAGGAAGUAACGCUUUUAUUGUUUUAUUUAUAAAAAUGUGUAUUUUUAUUUGUUCUUAGUACGAAAGGGAGUAAACAUUUGGGAUUUUGACACUGUAGCAUUUUCGUUUUUAUUUGACAAAUAUUGUCUAAUUAUAGAGUAACUAGGCUUAAAAGAUUCAUCUCGUGAUUUACAAGUAAACUGUGUAAUUAGUUAUUCUUUUUAUAUAUAUUUAAUAAUUCAUGCAUGUGUCGUAAGAUUCGAUGUGACGGAAAAUCUGGUAAAGUUUUGAGGUUUUGGUGACAAGGUAAGCAGAGGCAAGUCGUAUCGGCCAACUUUUAUGCGGGCUCCAGUAUGCCGGGCCGACUUCAGCUGGCGUAGUAGUAGCUAGUAGGCAUAUGCCCCGAGCAGAAAAGGCCACGGCCGGGUAGGCGUAGGCCGACACGACGACGCCCGACCCCGACCCCGACCCCGACCCCGACCCGCCGGGGAACGCUAGCGCGCCAACCAAAUUGUGGCGGGGGCGCGCGGUGGGGCAACCGUCUCCAGCCAGAGAAACCGGAGCGACCCACCCCAACCACGGGGCACAACAGCUUACAGGAGCACGGCUGGCUGCAGCACGGCAGACGCGGCCGGAGGAGAAACCGAAGCGCAAAAAAGACCAAAAAAGCCAAGGAGAAACCAGGGUGCGGGGAGGGAGGGAGGGAGCCCAGCCCCAGAGAGAGAGCAGGGGAGGAAAAAUAAACUAGUGGCCAAACCCUAGCCUGCCGAGCCCCCCCGCGUGCGCUCUCCGCCGCCCGCCCCGCCCCGCCCCUCCCCUCCGGUACGCGAUGCGCCGGGCGAAGCCGCCGCAGCCGCAGCCCUCGCCGUCGCCGGAGAUCCGGUACCGCGGCGUGCGGAGGCGGCCGUCGGGGCGCUACGCCGCCGAGAUCCGGGACCCGGCCAAGAAGACCCCGAUCUGGCUCGGCACCUUCGACUCCGCCGAGGCCGCCGCGCGCGCCUACGACGCCGCCGCCCGAUCCCUACGCGGGCCCACCGCACGCACCAACUUUCCCAGCGCCGCGGCACCGGUCCCGCGGCACAGAGCCCCCUCCGCCUCCGCCGCCGCAGCCCCCGCGGCGGCGGCGGCGGCCACGUCCAGCCACAGCAGUACCGUCGAGUCGUGGAGCGGCGGCGCACCCCGCGCCCCCUCCGCCCUGCCGCGGAGCGCCGCCGCGCCCAUGGAGGAGGACGACGACGAGGACUGCCACAGCUACUGCGGAUCCUCGUCGUCCGUCCUCUGCGAAGACGCCUGCGGCGACGACGCGGCCGCGUCCCGCGCGCCCCUGCCUUUCGAUCUGAACCUGCCGCCGCCUCUUGACGCGGCCGCUGAGGCCGAUCAGAUGGGUGCCCGCUACGACACGCUACUCCGCCUCUAGCUCGCGAGAACGGCCACGACGAAUCAGAGGAAAGAUCGACACCAGACCGCUUGUCCUUCUUCGGCUGCUGAUCCGGUGGUGUUCUCUCGCUAGAUGGAUAAUUCUUGCCUUUUUUCCCUUCUUUUUUUUCUUCUCUUUUUUGUUCUUUUCUUACCACCACGAUGAUGAUGAUGAUGAUUCGAUAUUAUGUGAAUAAUUCAGUUAUGUCCAUGUAAGCUGUGAGGAAGGAAAUCUGAGCUUUUCCUUAUCUUUCUCUGGUGUGUUCGAGUCAUAUUGCUGCUGCUGCCCUUUCAUUUGUUGGAAAGAUAAUGGAAGAAAUCAAGAGAAAUUAUUUACACAGACCAUUUGCUGCUGCCUUACCCUGUCUGAGCUCAGUUGAGCUGAACAUGAUUAGCUUAUACUAAUGUACUAACUGAUUCAUCUACUGAUGUGCAAAUCAUAUUCAAUACAUGCAUUGCAAGUUACAAGGUUACAAUUUGCAAGUGCAAUUGGUAGUGCCAUCUGAAAGUUCUAUUCUAGUAAAUACUUGGAUUUGUUAAAAUUAUCUGAAUAUUCUAAGGCAAUACUUGGAUUAUAUUUUUGCAGUGCUUCUUCUUCCCUCAAGCCGGCUGAUUCUAUUGGUUUUGCUAUUUCUUUAAGCAUUGGAUUAACAGUGACUGAUCCCAUUGAUCAUGUCAUAAGCCAGCUGACUGAUCCCAUUGAUCAUAUCCUGUGACCUUGAAGCCAAUUCUUGAAGACUCGUGUUGUGACCCUGAAAAACAAAUUCUUGAAGCCACUUCUUGGACAGCCAAUGAUGUAGAUGAGUAGAGGUGUUUUGCGUAAUUAAUUGCCUGCUCGUCACAAUGGUUAUUAUUUCUUCCAGAAUGUCCCAUUCUGAUGUGUAAGGUGAUGUGCAGCUCCUUCUCCUUGCAUGAUUGCCGCUCCUUCAGUGCAAGUGUAAAAAGGCCAUGCUAUAUGUUUGUUUGAUUAACUCACUUUCAUCUCCAAACUUCAGUGCAAGUGUAAAAAGACCAUGCUAUCUGUUUGUUUGAUUAACUGACUUUCAUCUCCAAACUAGAUGUCAAGUUGAACUGUACAAUGCUGAUAUACAUCAUGUUUGAUUUCCUGAUGCUAUCUAAGGUUGAUGGAUGAUCUGGCUUUUGGCUUCUUACUUCUGAUACCAUUCCACUCUUCUUGAUUGUUCUUGGUUGAUUCAAAGGGAAGCGUUGGGUUGCACCCUUCUUGAUUGUUCUUUGUUGAAAGGGAAGCGUUUGAUCAAACCAACGGGAGGAAAAGUCUUGCUGUGUUGAAUACUAGUACUAUAUUAUGUCUAUAUAUAUUAUGGAAAUUCAGUAGACUGUUUUGUUUUGACUAUGGAAAUUUAGCAGAUUAUAAUUAUAAUUUUGCUGUGACACUGGAAAUUUAGUAAAGUACUGUAUUUUGCUGUGACUGUCUAUGGCACGGUGGUUGGUUCUGAUUCGGAAGGUUUAGGAUCUGCUUUUCAUCCUGUGUCGUCACUACUGGCUUACUGCCAUUUGGCAGAGAAGAAGAAUCCGCUACGCUCUGUGCCGAAUCUGUUAGGCAGGCAGAGGCAGGCGGGUGAACUUUUGGCGAGGAGAGACCUUUUUCAUGGAUCUUCUCUGCACCACCUGUUUCUGGAUCCCUUUUGCCGCCUAGUACGUACAACUUGUGCGUGAUAAAUGUUCGUAUCCGACGUGCGAAAUAACCAGAGCAGCCUUUUCUUCGAGUAGAAAAUUUUCAUCGCGGACGAGAAAAGUUUCAGAGGAGCUGGGGAUUGUUGAAUUAGAAAGCUCCCAGCUGUUGUCGUGACAAGGGAACAAGCCUGGGCCUCGUCAUGGGCCUCGGCUGGCCUGGGCUCUAAAGAAAGUCUUCUUAGAUCCAGGUAGGCUAGGUGACCUCCCUCCACCGUUGCAACUGCAACGUGCCAUCCCUUUUCAGUCUGAGUCGUGCUCCUGCGCUACAGAGCAUGCAUCUGGAUUCUGAUUUCUGAAAGGAGGAACUUGCUACUUGCAUUGCACGAGGCCGUUUGGACUUUGGAGCCAGCCCCCCAAGGCAGAUGGGAACAUCAGUCUUUAACGGAGUAUCUAUAUGAGAAACUCAUUUUGGGUUACCUCACAAUCCAAAUAUAGGUAAUAUCUCUUCUAAAAACUUAUUUGUAGAAAUGAUUCUCUUUUGGGUCUUGUUGUUGGAGAAGAUGUCGAAUGAGUAUUAAACCUUUUGCUUGUAGCACCACCUAAACAUUGAAUAAGUCUUGUAUUUUGGGUGUUGUUAUUGGAGAUAGUCUAGCCGCUUGCCGGCUUGGGGAGUUGGGAUCUGGCAAGGUGAGUGGUUGAUGGUCACCAACACCGGCCACAUAUGUGCAGUGCAGAUGCAGAGCCGGCAUGCACUAGCUUUGCACCUUGCAACUUACCACCCCCGAAGCCGAAUGUGACGGCCUCUCCCUCCCUCCCUCCCACGUUCCACCACCAAACGCGUGCGUGGGCUUGCCGCCUUGCCCGCCGCCGGUGGUGUCGGUGGACACCCACGCCGGGACUGGCUGGCCGCGCGAUGGCAGGCAGAUGGCCUGGUAGGUUUAGCUCACCUUCACCUAGCCGUUCCUGAUCCUGCGUCCUUGGGGAGUCCAGCAGGUGAGCAGGUAACCACCCACCCUCAUCCGAUUGGCUAUCCUUGCAGCCUAGUCGAGUUAUUUAUUCUUUUAUAAUCGAGUUUUUUUCCCUCUACGUUCUUUAGGUAUUAUCAGUGUGUAUUAGCGGUUGCAAGUAUAUGGUUUAUUGGACCCCGCCUACAUAAUAUGCUGUUGGCCGUAAGUACCUGCAUGCGUCUUCUUAAACUUCGAACUGACUUUUGGAAGAGAAAAAUUCCUUUCAAAUCGUCCUUUAAUUUCAUCUUUCAAAAAAAAAAAAGUUGUUUAUGUUCAAAAAGAAAAUUUUCCAUUCAUGCAGCAUAAAUGUUAAUAACAUGUAUGUUUCAGAUUUUUUUUUAAAAAAAUGUAUGUUUUAGGUAGCUGGAAUUUGUGUUGUAGUGAUCUUUCGAAAAUUCGGCGUAGCAAGCUGCAAUUCAUGCAGUACACCGGUGCUUCACUUAGUUGAUAAAUUUGUGGGGCUGUUUCCUUUUUAAUAAGGAAAAGAACAUUGCUUUUAGGGACCGUUUUCAGAUUCAGCUAAAGCAACUUUAAAAGGGCUUCUAAGAUUCAGCUAUAGUGCUUUUCAAAUUGAAAGGGCUUCUAAGAUCAUUCUCGGACUCAAGUGGACUCAUGUCUACUUGGAGAAGUCCUUUUAGUGCCCAUCAACCUAACAGACCAGAGAGCUCUCCACCUAGCUAAUACCUUUGGCUGCAAAGUUGGUGCUAUGUCUUUUACGUACUUGGGACUCCCUCUUGUCACUACAAAGCCCACCCUGCAAUGCAAAGACUUCACUCUGUCCAGGAUAGAAGGCCGAUUGGUUGGUAUAAGCAAGUUCUUAUCCUACCAUGGAAGGCUAGUCCUUGUGAACUCUGUGUUCUCAGCCCUGCCAACCUUUUAUAUGUGCAGCCUAUAAUUGCCGCCCAAGAAAGAGACAAAAGUCCUACUAACUAAUCCCGCUAAGUGGUGAUUCAACAUGGAUUCUACAUCUUCAAACCAGGCCAAUUUAGGAGCGGCUUUGUGAUGAUGGAACCAACCGAGAGGAGAAUGCCAAGCAAGCGCAGAUUUUCAGAAUACUUCUACGUGCCUUGAAGUGGACUCAAACCUCCACGCUCUUUAGCAUGAGAUUUUGAGUCUCAAAUCAUCAAGUAAAUAGACGAAUACCGCAAGCACUGCCUUUGUCGAGAAAAAACAUACAAAUGUUAUGGGUGGAGAUAUGUAGAUGAAGGCUAGAACUAUGUGUUCCCGUCGAGGCUAUCGAGAAGAACAUCUAAAUGUUUUGUAUGAAGAAGAACAUGUAAACUUAGGGUUAAUCUACCAUAUAAUCCAACCUGUUUGGAUCACAAUUAGAUCUAGUUGAUUAUUAUAAUCACAAUGGAUGUAAACAUGACCUUAGGCUCAAGUGGUUAGGCCUUUGCAGUUGAAUUUAUUGGUUGCUUUAGGCUUAGUGCAUGUUUAGAUCAGCUAAAUCUAAUAGGUAGCCUUAGUUCAAAAUGGACUAUUAGCUAAAACGUCUUAUAACUUGGAACGGAAGGGGUAGAUAGAACUAUCAGCCCAUGUGUGUUUACUUGGCUAAUACUAGGUUCAUACUUUUAUAGCAAAAUGGACUAUUAGCUAUUGCGCUAAGCUAGUGCGAGCUUAGCUAAAUUUUUCUAUGACUAUUUUUUUAUAACUAUAUACCAAUUAAUCUCUGGUAUCAAACAGCCUCUUAGCUCUUUGCGUUUGCACAGGGGAGUAGUUCAUGAGAACACACGAAAGAAGAAACUCAAACUGAAAUUUAAAACCAACAGCCCGAAUUUGCAUUAAUAGGUACAUACACGACUCCUCCUCCUCUGCUCUCCAAAGUUCUCCAUGGUACACUUUCCCAAGAUCCGAUCCAUGACGGUUCCGACGCCUAGUAGCAGUUAGAACGAACGAAUCACUCGAGCUGCGCGUACCAGAUCCCCUGGAUCUUGACAUCCUUGGGCGCCUUGGCGCCGAGGUCGGUGUCCGACGGCUGCACGCUCUCGAAGACGCCGAUGACCUCGCCGGUCUCCGGGUUGCUCUUGGUGACGCUCAACGUGAUGUUGCCCGUGGACGCGGCGGCGUUCUUGAUGUUCUCCUUCAGGAGCUCCUCCUCGUCGCCUCUGCCUCCGGCGGGGAGCGCGACGGCGUUGUCGUACCCAGUGGAGCCACCACGGCCCUUGGGGUCGAGGAAAGAGGAGCCACGGUAGCUGGGCACGAGGAAUGGCCCGCCGAAGCUCUCGGGCUUGCCGGUGGCGACGAGCUGCUUGACGGUGAAGAGGAACGGCACGCGCUCGCCUCCCGGGAGCUGCACGGUGACGGCGGCGUAGUCGAUGCCGUCCUUCUCCUCGAACUUGAGGGUGCCGUCGGAGCCGACCUCGAGCGGGCCCUCGAUCUCGUCCAGCGUGUAGGUGAGGCGGGUCAUGAGCUUGGUCUUCUGGAACUCGGGCGGCGCGUUCUUGGCGAUGCCCUCCGCCUUGACCGUGAAGGACGUCGGCUCCAAGCACAGCUUCUUCAUCUGGUACUU
rnacentral:lncRNA from 1 species